UACGUAGGAGGCAAGCGUUGUCCGGAAUCACUGGGCGUAAAGCGCGUGUAGGUGGAAGAGGAAGUCUGCUGUGAAAGCGCCUGGCUUAACCGGGCGAGGUCGGUGGAAACUCCUCAUCUAGAGGUCGGUAGAGGGGGGUGGAAUUCCGGGUGUAGUGGUGAAAUGCGUAGAGAUCCGGAGGAACACCUGUGGCGAAGGCGGCCCCCUGGGCCGCACCUGACGCUGAGACGCGAAAGCGCGGGGAGCAAACAGG
rnacentral:rRNA from 1 species